CCUACGGGGGGCAGCAGUGGGGAAUAUUGGACAAUGGGGGGAACCCUGAUCCAGCCAUGCCGCGUGUGUGAAGAAGGCCCUCGGGUUGUAAAGCACUUUCAGUGAGGAAGAACGCCUGGUGGUUAAUACCCAUCAGGAAAGACAUCACACACAGAAGAAGCACCGGCUAACUCCGUGCCAGCAGCCGCGGUAAUACGGAGGGUGCGAGCGUUAAUCGGAAUUACUGGGCGUAAAGCGCGCGUAGGUGGCUUGAUAAGCCGGUUGUGAAAACCCCGGGCUCAACCUGGGAACGGCAUCCGGAACUGUCAAGCUAGAGUGCAGGAGAGGAAGGUAGAAUUCCCGGUGUAGCGGUGAAAUGCGUAGAGAUCGGGAGGAAUACCAGUGGCGAAGGCGGCCUUCUGGACUGACACUGACACUGAGGUGCGAAAGCGUGGGUAGCAAACAGGAUUAGAUACCCUAGUAGUC
rnacentral:rRNA from 1 species